UUGAAUUAUUUUCUACAGUUCUCAUUAUCUCAGUUUAAACUGUAAGAUGUCAUAUUAAAAUGAAUAGAUAGCAUCAUGAUCGUUUUCUAAUUGGCGGAGUAAAAACUAAAAUUAUUUGGAAAGAGUUGAUAUGUUUGUCUAAAUAUAUUUUAUAGGGCUGCGGAGUACUGCAAUCUCCGACGGUAACGUCUCUUUUAAAAUGAUGCGGGUGUAUCAGCGGACAGAUGACUACCAAGAAAAAAAAAAACUUUCAUCAUCUUCCGAAGAAUCCUGCACACUGAUUGCAAGAGACCUUCCAACACAUCUGGAUGUACACUAAUGGAACAUGGUUUUAAAGAGUUUCCCGGAGUGCCUUCAAGCAAUUAUAUAACUUCAUUUGAACAGAAACUUGCUGAAUAAGUGCCCAGCGUUCCAGAAGGCAUUUACAGGAUAUCUUCGUGUCUUAUCUAUGCAGUACGCCCCCUGGUGACACAUUGCUACAUCCGGGUGAUAUACUGACAGCUCUCUAUCUAAUUGCAUGCGGUUCAUUGGAGAUUGUUACAGUAUUUGGUACAGCGAU